rnacentral:tRNA from 1 species
GUCUCACUGGCGCAAUGGUAGCGCGCAAGACUUCUAAUCUUGAGGUUGUGGGUUCGAGUCCCACGUGGGAUG